UCUUCUCUUUUGAAAAUUUUGUCCUCUUUUGUCCCUCCUCUCACCCUCAGCCUUCAGGACCUGGGUGCUGUCCAGGUACAAAUUAACAUAUAAAAAGACCUCAAGUUGUUCACACAAGCAGCUCUAUUUAUUACUCUCUCCUUUACAGCCUGAGUCUGCUCAAAAACACACAUUCAAAUUGGAUCGUAUCCACUCUAGCCCUUCAGCACACAGGUAUUGUGGGCCAGAGGCCGCUUUUGGCCGCAAACUCCCUUACUCAUUUAAAAUAACUUCAUUCCUAGGGUUCACUGGACAAUUAGUUGGUCCAUCACAUUCUCUGACAAACGCACUUUGCCUACCUUGUCACUAACCCUCAAGCAGCUCUUUGGGUGAGUGCUACUACCCUUGUUUAGAGGGGAGUGAAACCGGGCUUUACAGCUUAAAGUGACUUGGCGGAGAUCACACAGCCAGUUAAGUGGGUGGCUUGUUGGGAAAUCAAGGCUUAGAGUAACCAAAGGUCACUAACGGUUCUUUUAAAACAUUUUAUUUUCGUUACAUUAGUUUUAAAAUACAGAGUGUCCCAGGCUUGCAAAGAAAAACAGCGUUCAUCUCCCUACCCCGCUGAUCCCCUCUCUCCAACUGUAACUUUUCAGUGCAACCACGUGGAACUUUUUCAGUGGAUUCUGCUAGCUUUCUGACACGUUUCUAGAUUCCCCUUAGAACCGACGCAGUGGGCAGACCUAACUGCGAAGUAGCCCAAGGCCGCUUAGCUCUCGCUGCCCGCUAUGCGUUUAGCUCCAGGUCAUCCUGUCUGCCCAGGUUGAAAGCCUUGUCGGGUCCACUCCUCGCGGGUGCAGGACAGGCCUCCUCUCACGCGGAUCCACACCCGGCACUGUGCUGCGGGCUCCAGCGAGUGGCCGCCGGGACCGGGACCAUGCACCGGGCUGAGCCGCCUGCUUCCCGCCCGCGGGCCUCGCUGCUCGCUGCUCGCUCCUCGAGGGUUACCGACCGCGCUCUGGGCUGAGAUGUAAAGAGGAUCGGAGACCUCAGGAAAAUUUUAUCUUCAUGGAGGGGAGUGGAGUCUUUUUCCCCCUAAGAAUGGUAUCCUCUUAUUGGCCUCUCACCAACUCUGUGCCUUCUCUGCACACACACACACACACACUCAUCCUCCCCCAUUCUCCCCAAACCACCAGAACAACUGCGGUGUAAAACAAGUUUUAAUUUAUAUGAUUAAAGUUUGAAAAUACA